rnacentral:rRNA from 1 species
UGGGGAAUAUUGCACAAUGGGCGAAAGCCUGAUGCAGCAACGCUGCGUGAGUGAUGAAGGUCUUCGGAUUGUAAAGCUCUGUCUUUUGGGACGAUAAUGACGGUACCAAAGGAGGAAGCCACGGCUAACUACGUGCCAGCAGCCGCGGUAAUACGUAGGUGGCGAGCGUUGUCCGGAUUUACUGGGCGUAAAGGGUGCGUAGGCGGAUGUUUAAGUGAGAUGUGAAAUACCCGGGCUUAACUUGGGUGCUGCAUUUCAAACUGGAUAUCUAGAGUGCAGGAGAGGAGAAUGGAAUUCCUAGUGUAGCGGUGAAAUGCGUAGAGAUUAGGAAGAACACCAGUGGCGAAGGCGAUUCUCUGGACUGUAACUGACGCUGAGGCACGAAAGCGUGGGUAGCAAACAGGAUUAGAUACCCUGGUAGUCCACGCCGUAAACGAUGAGUACUAGGUGUAGGAGGUAUCGACCCCUUCUGUGCCGCAGUAAACACAUU